GCCUACGGCCCUACCACCCUGAGUGCGCCCGAUCUGGUCUGAUCUCUGAAGCUAAGCAGGGUCAGGCCUGUUUAGUACUUGGAUGGGAGGCUGCCUAGCAAUACCAGGUGCUGUAAGCU
rnacentral:rRNA from 1 species